UUUCCGUAGGUGAACCUGCGGAAGGAUCAUUAACGAGUUAGGGUCCUCCGGGGCCCGACCUCCCACCCUUUGUUGUCGCGAAUUCGUUGCCUCGGCGGGACGGCCGCCCCGGGUCCAAGCGACCCGGGCUGGCCACCGGGGACCCCUCGCGGGGAUCCCGGCCAGCGCCCGCCGCGGGACCACACACAACUCUUGUCUUUGACCGUACAGUCCGAGCAAAUUUGAAUUAAUAAAUCAAAACUUUCAACAACGGAUCUCUUGGUUCUGGCAUCGAUGAAGAACGCAGC
rnacentral:misc_RNA from 1 species